AUUGAACGCUGGCGGCAGGCCUAACACAUGCAAGUCGAACGAGUGGCGGACGGGUGAGUAAUGUCUGGGAAACUGCCUGAUGGAGGGGGAUAACUACUGGAAAAGGUAGCUAAUACCGCAUACCCUCAGAUGUGCCCAGAUGGGAUUAGCUAGUUGGUGGGGUAACGGCUCACAAGGGCGACGAUCCCUAGCUGGGCUGAGAGGAUGACCAGCCGCACUGGAACUGAGACACGGUACAGACUCCUACGGGCGGUAGCAGUGGGGAAUAUUGCGCAAUGGGCGCAAGCCUGAUGCAGCCCUGCCGCGUGUAUGAAGAAGGCCUUCGGGUUGUAAAGUACUUUCAGCGGGGAGGCGGUACCCGCAGAAGAAGCACCGGCUAACUCCGUGCCAGCCGCCGCGGUAAUAC
rnacentral:rRNA from 1 species